rnacentral:misc_RNA from 1 species
UGUGGGAGCGGGCUUGCUCGCGAUAGCGGUGUGUCAGUCGAUGUAGAUGGCGACUGACACUCCGCUAUCGCGAGCAAGCCCGCUCCCACA